GACAGAGGGUGCAAACGUUGCUCGGAAUUACUGGGCGUAAAGCGCGUGUAGGCGGUUCCGCAAGUCAGGUGUGAAAGCCCAGGGCUCAACCUGGGAACUGCGUCUGAUACUGGAUGGCUUGAAUCCGGGAGAGGGAUGCGGAAUUCCAGGUGUAGCGGUGAAAUGCGUAGAUAUCUGGAGGAAUACCGGUGGCGAAGGCGGCAUCCUGGACCGACAUUGACGCUGAUGAGCGAAAGCUAGGGGAGCAAACGGG
rnacentral:rRNA from 1 species